UAUUUGUACUUUUUUGAGAGGCUUGAUAGCUAGAAUUUACAAACCUCUUCAUUCCAUAGAUAGUAAAACGUUUAACAGCAGAAUGAUUUUGAGUUUCUUCUCGGCAGUUGGUGAUUUGUGUCAUGACCUUAUGUAGUUCUUAAAUGGCAAUCCUCAACAUUUUGGACUGAUCUGUCUGCAAUUUCAAAUAUCAAAAUUUCCAUUUUAAAAAAGUAC
rnacentral:misc_RNA from 1 species